rnacentral:lncRNA from 1 species
AGAGGAGUAGCCUGAAAGCCUGAGCUCCCUACCACCCUGAGGGGUGCGGGUGCGACGGGGCCUGUCGGGGCUUCCCCUAUCCCCUGCUCCUGCGCCCUCCCCCCGCUUCCCCUCCUCCCCUCCCUAUCGCCCUCACCCCCCUUCUUCCCCCGUGACCCCUGACCCCAGCUAAUCUGCAUAGAGGAAUGACAGGCAUCCGCUGGGCAGGAUCCGCCGCGCCGGCUGCGGCCGGCCGGGCUGGGAGACCCGCGCGGGGGAGAAGGUGAGGGGACCCGGCGGGCCGCUCGGCACAGGCCGGGACAUGAACGCUUGGAAGUCUGGCUGGGAGCGGACCCAUGAUCGAAGGACCAAAGGAGCCGCGUGAUCGCUGGACCUGGCCCUGCGACCCCAGUCAUGGGCCAGACCUCGGUGUCCACGCUGUCCCCGCAGCCCGGCAGCGUUGAUGGACUGGACAAAGCUUCUGUAGCAAACUCAGAUGGCCCCACAGCAGGUUCCCAAACACCUCCCUUCAAGAGAAAGGGGAAACUAUCCACCAUUGGUAAAAUCUUUAAGCCUUGGAAAUGGAGGAAAAAGAAGACCAGCGACAAAUUUAGAGAAACCUCAGCAGGUAUGAGUAUCAUAACUUGUUAGAAGAUGGGAUAAAUCGUAAAAUGUUUCAAAAGGUAGAAAAUUAUGUAUUACAGUGUGUUUUUUCCCGGAAAAAAUUUAAUCCAUAUUUGAAAUGAAUUCUUU